AGUGCUAUAACUAAUGGUUUGAGACUGAAUAAUUAUGUAACUCAACGUGAUUAAACCCGUUAAAUCUUCAAAAUGUUUGUGUUGUGCGUGAUGAUGUGCUGUAACGCAGGUGAACUCGUACCCAACUGUUCAAGGAUUUACUGUAAUAAGAACUGGAGGUGAUGAGUGCCAGUUUUCACAAGCAUGGAGAUAUGUUCUUUUCGGGUACUGCUGAUGCUAAGGGAAUUUUCUUUACUCUCUAUUUUUUGAAAUAGGAGAAAAAGAAGGCAGUAUUAUGCCAUAGAUGGCCCUAGCUUUACCCGACUUUCUAAGACUAUCAUCUCUAAAAUAGUGGAAACAUAUCAACCUGGUACAAUAGUUCUCCUGUGUGGAGCUGAUUCGCUUGCUGGAGAUCGCCCGGGCUGCUUCAAUCUCUAUAUUGAUGGUCAUGCUGAAUGUGUCAAAUUCGUAAAGAAAUUCAAUUUGCCCUUGCUGGUGGGUUUAUAUCAUUUUAUAUUUGCCUUAAAUUUACUUGUUAUUUUGGUUUAGAUAUACAUGAGUGGAAUAUUGAAACUAGAAAAUAUUGCUCGGUGGUGGGCUAUUGAAACUAGAGUUUUCUUAGAUACAGAGCUUCCUAAUGGUACACUUAAUCAGCCUUAUCCUAGUGGGCACAUCGUAUAUGGCUUCUCAACCUUUGAUU